rnacentral:tRNA from 1 species
AGUGGCCGAUUUAAGGUGUUAGUCUCUUAAAUUAAUUAUGGAGAAAUUA